ACACCUGCCUAUUCCAGAUAAAAUUCCACCAAAAAUAGUACUCGGUCAUGUUCCAAAUUUUCUAAUCAAUUUGAUUUAAAACUAUUCAAUAAAACUUCCUGUUGAACCGUAUUUAGUUUGUCUGUAAUAUUUUUAAAACACGCGGCACAAACUAUACAGGCGUUUUUUGUCUGUCUAAGGUUCAGGUACUAAAUAUCAGGUCAAAAUUUUCUUCGCCAUUCCUGUACUAGGCAUGCUCUAUUAAUUCUUCAAGCAUUCACAUUCUUAACAUUCGGUCUUCAGUCAUCCAAGCUUUCCAACGCAACGCAAUCUACAAAUCCAGUCGUUUCCACGUAGGUCCUGACAUACCGAUCUGGAAAAAAAUUAGCGUUUCUUGCACCUUCCGCAAUUUAUUGCGGCGGAUAUAGGAAUUAUAGUCAACGAUACAGUGUCGCCACAUGUAAACACAAUAUCAAUCCGACGUAUUGAAAUUUAUAAUCUCAUCAACAAGUAUGCGAACUGUAUUUAAUAAACGAAUCUUAUUCAAGGACCAAUAGAUGUACAUCUAAUAAAUAAUAAAGUUGAUGAAAAAAAUUUGUCAUAAACAUUA
rnacentral:lncRNA from 1 species